CCAUUCGCCAACUUGUUAUUCUCCCUUUGUUUUGUGUUUGUUCUGAGUAAAACGUGACCACAACGAACAAAGCAAAGAGAAGAAGCUCAAGCAAACACAAACAAAGGAGGAAUAAAAGAAGCAAGGGAGCCGUUUCAAAGGCAUAUCCCACCCACUACUACUACUACUACUACUUGCCAUACCUACUACCUAUUCCCACCCGAUUUGUUCCACUGUCCACAUUUUGCGAUUUUCCAGCGCUACUUCUGAUGGCACGAAGUCCUUUCGUUCGUUCUCCUGUCUUCCUUCGCACCAUUCCAGCAUUCCAAGAUGAAAAGGGAAACAGACAUAGACGGGAAAUGUGUAUUUCGUCUGAAGCAUUGGAAGUCUCUCCAGAACCCCAGCCUUAGGUAGGUAUCCAGACAGCUUCGAGAAUGAGGUGACUAUCAUACAGAGAAGUUAUCGGAGACAUCAGGGUGUUGUGUGAAAAACUGAUUUAAAGAUGGUAGCGGCAAGACUAAAAUUAUGGUUCACUACACCCGCUACUGCCAUCCAAUUUUAAUGGAAGAAAACACUGACCAUUCAGAAGAUUCUGUCGGUGUACAAGGCAUUCGAAACAGGUGGAGGCUGGUCACUGAUGAAAUUUUUCAACCCUUAAACUAAGAAAAUGGCGAAGAAAAAAAUUGCUGCUGCCAUAAAGAAAUGAACAAAGAAUAUCAUGCCAAAUGCCUUGCAGGUGAUGUUGACGACAAAGCGAAUAUCAGAGGCUUUCUAAAAGAUAAAGUUAUAGACUUCUGGGAAGAAGCAGAACAUUGCCGUUCACAACAUAUAAAAAGGAAUAUGGGAAAGAGAGACAAUUGUAUACACCUAUAUAUACUGUAUUCUGUAAGAAGCAUUAAGGUGUUAGGUCCACUGUUGAAACUAUGCUACAGAAUAUCAGACAUUUGGAUACAAAUUAGACAAAUGUACAGAGAACUUUGACACAAAUACUCAGAGCUUGGGAGAGAUUAUGGAUAAACUGCUUCAGCCGAGGACCCAACAUUUCUGGAGACCAAAAUUGAUGAAAGUAUGGCUGUCAGAGAAACGACCCUGAUUUCAAGUCUUGUCAGUAAGAACUCUUCUAUGCUACUUCAUAUGGUCCAACAUCAGGGAAAUUGAUGACAGAGUAGGUAAUCUCCUUAAGCAAUUAGAAAAAGUGGGGCAAAUGAAAGUGAAGAUAAUGGAACACCUAAACAGAAGUACAGGUGUUAUUACAUUUAAUGUAAUAGGAAAGCAUGUUACCCUGGGAUUGUUAAGAGCACCUUGACCGAUAUUUCAAUUACUAGUCACUGGUUCACUGUAUAACAUCUGGAAUAUACUAUUCCUUCUUGUAUUUUGGUCGCUAUGUUCCACCUUAUCUGUGACUACCCCAUAUAGUUUGGGACACACUGUUACUCCAUAGCACAAUUAUUCUAGUAUCUCUCCCAUUGGACUUAUUUGGCUUUCUCCUUUUUCAUUCAAUUUGUGUGUCAAAUUGAGGUAUGCUGCACCUCACUUCUGUAAGAGGUGCUAAAUGGUAACAUGCAUGGAUGUUGAGCAAUGGAACCAGGUUGCAAUAGAGAUAAUAAGAGAAGAACUUUGAGCACUGGUAUUCAGUCCAUUCAGCAAGCUGCCAGGCAAACUAAAACAUUGAAAAAAGUAAGGACAGUGAAGAUGAAAUUAAAAGCAAUGCUUACUUACAAAAUCUUAGGGACAUGGAAACAUGGAAAUUUGAUGGGUCAGGAAAUUACUACACAAUCUGAAGAAAAGUUCCUGACUGUAGAACGGAAUGAGGCUUGAAAAGGAGUGUCCAUUGCCAACAAAACCUACGCCAUCAUAGACCAAUCUGUUUCUGGGGUGGCAGUCAGUAGGAGGAACUGGAGGCAAAGUGAAGCUGGCCUUGAUCUGUUUGUCAUAUGGAUAUGCAGUUUUUUAAAAAAUUCUACCACCCUCAUAGUAUGGAGCAUCAAACAUUUUCAAGAAAAUGUGAAGAUUCUUCUGUGACUACAUACAGCAGCACUAACUUUGUUUUUUAUAUAUGUAAAACUAAUGUAAUUUGUCAUGUAACAGUUACAAAUGCUAGAGAAAUAUCAGUUAUAUACAUGUAUAAAAUAGAUAGAUAUGUAUCUCCAUUUUAGCAAGUAGUGCAGUAUGUGGUAGAGGCUCAGUUUUCUGUUUAAAUUUCUUAUCAGCUCAAUAGCGCUUCCAAAUAGGUUGAUAUGCUUCAGGAAAAAGGUUCUAAUUGAAUUUCUUAUUGGUUUGGAAUGAACAGUUACACAGUAAUAGGACCUGGAAUGUUCAGAUUCUACAUACAUUUUUUAGUAUUGAAUCGAAUGUCAGGUAGCCAAUAUUUUUUAGGUAAUUCAUAUUGAUUUCAUAAAAAGUUAAUUAGCUAGUUGAGACCUCAUUUGGUUUUCAAAUGCAUAGUUUAUACACAUUUUUCAUUUUUGUACAUGAACUUCCCUGCCAGAUAUAUACUUAGCUUAGGUCUCUGACGUCACGACAGAAAAUUCAAAACUCGCGGCACACGCUACAGGUAGGUCAGGUGAUCUACUUUACCUGCCGCUGGGAGGCGGAUGUAAGAACCAGUCCCCCUUUCUUGUCAGAUUAUUUUCUGUCGCCGGCUGGACAACACCUGUUGUUCAGUCCUUACGAUAGUUAAAUUCGUUCUCGUUGCCGACGAUUUGGAUUUUGGUGAAGUACCCUUUGUUUGUUGGCUUGGCAUACGCUUUUUGGACUGUUUUUUGGAUUUUUCUUUUGGAUUUCUCUUACAAUAUAUAAUCAUGGAUGAUUCUUAAGUUAAGAAACCUAGUUUAUUUAGGGUUUGUUCAGUGAAGGAAUGUAAAGUUAGGCUUCCUAAAGCUGCAUUAGAUCCUCACUCUGUAUGUACGUCUUGUAGAGGGAAUGAAUGCUCUUUUAUUAACCCUUGCAAAGAGUGUGAGAAUUUGGAUGAGGAUGGUUGGAAGGCUCUUUCUUCUUAUGUGAGAAAGUUAGAGAAGGAUAGGGUGCGCAAGGCUUCUUCAAGGAGCUCUAGUAGAUCGAGGGUGAGUGAAGU